rnacentral:rRNA from 1 species
AUUGAACGCUGGCGGCAUGCUUUACACAUGCAAGUCGAACGGUAACAGGCCUUCGGGUGCUGACGAGUGGCGAACGGGUGAGUAAUGCAUCGGAACGUGCCCAGAGGUGGGGGAUAACGCAGCGAAAGCUGUGCUAAUACCUCAUGUGAUCUGAGGAUGAAAGCGGGGGACCAGGCAGCAAUGUUUGGCCUCGCGCCUUUGUAGCGGCCGAUGUCAGAUUAGGUAGUUGGUGGGGUAAAGGCCUACCAAGCCGACGAUCUGUAGCUGGUCUGAGAGGACGACCAGCCACACUGGGACUGAGACACGGCCCAGACUCCUACGGGAGGCAGCAGUGGGGAAUUUUGGACAAUGGGCGCAAGCCUGAUCCAGCAAUGCCGCGUGCGGGAAGAAGGCCUUCGGGUUGUAAACCGCUUUUGUACGGAACGAAAAGGCUCUGGCUAAUACCUGGGGCUGAUGACGGUACCGUAAGAAUAAGCAACGGCUAACUACGUG